rnacentral:lncRNA from 1 species
CUAGCUCAUCCUGGCUCAAAAAGCACCUCCAAUGAGCACCUUGUGACCCCCGCCCCUGCCCACCAGAGAACAACCCCCUUUGUAAUUUUCCAUUACCUUCCCAAAUCCUAUAAAAUGGCCCCACCCCUAUCGCCCUUCCCUGACUCUCUUUUCGGACUCAGCCUGCCUGCACCCAGGUGAAACAAACAGCCAUGUUGCUCACACAAAGCCUGUUUGGUGGUCUCUUCACACGGACGCGCAUGAAAUUUGGUGCCGUGACUCGGAUCGGGGGACCUCCCUUGGGAGAUCAAUCCCCUGUCCUCCUGUUCUUUGCUCUGUGAGAAAGAUCCACCUAUGACCUCAGGUCGUCAGACCGACCAGCCCAAGAAACAUCUCACCAAUUUCAAAUACGGGUGAGAAUAUGUGGUAUUUGGGUUUCUGUUCCUUCAUCAAGUUGCUUAAGAUGAUGACCUUCAGCUCCAUCCAUGUUGCUGUAAAGGACAUGAAUUCAUUCGUUUUUACAGAGUGGGUGUACCAGUUCACAAUCCCAAUAGAAAUGAUGUAAGAAGCAGGACACAACUCCAGAGGUGGGGCUCAGACAUGGAACCAGAUUGAGGACAAGUUAACACAGGGCCUGGUAAGAAGCAGUUUUCUAAUUAGACAUGCCCACCAAUGUGCCAUGUCAAUUUAUCAUUCCAAUGGCAACACCCAGCUUUUACCGACUCUUUACAUGGCUAUGACCCAAUGACCCAAGUUACUACCCCUUCCCUAGAAAAUUCUGCAUAAACCACGCCUUAAUCUGCAUGCAAUUAAAAGUGGGUAUAAAUAUGACUGCAAAGCUGCCCUGAGCUACGGUGGUCUGCCUACUACUGGGUAGCCAUGCUCUGCAGGAGCAGUCAUGGAGCUGUAACUCCAUCAGACUGUAACACUGCCUCUUCAAUACAACUGUUUUCUUCUACAUCUGGCUUGCCUUUGAAUUCUUUCCUGGGCAAGGCCAAGAACCCUCACAGGCUAAACUCCACUUUGGGGCUAGUUUGCCCUGUAUGAGAAAUGUUUGAGUCCAGUUCCUCUACAUCCUAACUCACAUUUGACACUGGCAUUGAUUUUUUAUGUAUUUAUCGAUUUUGUUCUGUAUUGUUUUGCCACUUGGAUAGGUGUGUAUGCCUGGUUCAUUUUGAUUACUGUAUGUAUGGUUCAUUUUGGGUUUCUCCAGUGUCUGAUGAUGUUGAACAUCUUUGCAUGUGCUUACCUGCCACUGGGACAUCUUCUUCAAUGAAAUGUAUCUUGCUGUUUUUUGCUCAUGUCAUAAUUGGGUUUUCUUUUGAGAAUUCUUUACAUAUUGUAGAUACUAUCCAUUUGUCAAAUACAUGGCUAGCAAACAUUUUCUUCCCAUAUGUAGCUUUGUUUCACUCUUUAUAGAGUGAAAUAUUUAGAUUUCAAUGAAGUCCAAUUUGUCAUUUUUCCCUUAUGGUUCAUGCUUUUGAUGUAAACAAUAAGGAUUCUGUCCAUCAUAGAUUCCAAGUAUUUGUUCUAUAUUUUUAGCUACAAGUUUCACACUUUUACAUUUUACAUUUAAUCUGUGGCUUAUUAUGAGUUAAAUUUUGUAUAAAAUGUGAGAGGUUUGAAGGUUGAGUUCUUAUUUAUUUUUUACUUGCCUUUUUUUUUUAUCUGUAAGUGUUCAAUUGCUCGAGAACCGUUAUUUGAAAAUGUUAUCUUUUCUGCAAUGAAUUGCCUUUGGAACUUUGUCAAAAAUUAGUUAGGGGUAUGUUUGUGGAUUUAGUAUAUUUGGGCUUUUUGUUCUCUUCAAUUAAGCUAUGUAUCUAUACCUCCACCAAGACUAGACUAUAUUAUUACUAAUAGCUAUAUAGUACUUUACGUUGAGUGGGGUAAUUUUUUCUACUUUAUUUUCCAUUAUCAGGACUGGUGUGGCUAUUCUAGUGACUGUGACUUUCUGUGUAAAUUUCAAAAUAUUUUUGUCUUUUGUCUACAGAAAAAACCCCUUGCUGGGAUUUUGGUAGCACCUGCCUAAACCUAUAGAUCAACUUGGUAGAAUUAAUGUCUUUACUCUGCCAAGUCUUUCAAUCUAUUCACCCAAUAUAGCUCUUCAUUUAUUUAGCACUUUGAAAAUUUCUUUCAUCAUUAUUUUGCAUUUUUCAACUGACAUUUCCUGUAUAUGUUUUAUUA